GCGAGAGUGGCGGAAUUGGUAGACGCGCUGGGUUCAGGGUCCAGUGGCCUUCUGGCUGUGGGGGUUCGAGUCCCCCCUCUCGCACCA
rnacentral:tRNA from 1 species